UACAUGGGGUGCAAGCGUUGCUCGGAAUCAUUGGGCGUAAAGCGCGCGUAGGCGGUUGCUUAAGUCGGAUGUGAAAGCCCUCGGCUUAACUGAGGAAGUGCAUCCGAAACUGAGCAGCUAGAGUACGAAAGAGGGUCGCGGAAUUCCCGGUGUAGAGGUGAAAUUCGUAGAUAUCGGGAGGAACACCGGUGGCGAAGGCGGCGACCUGGGUCGAGACUGACGCUGAGGCGCGAAAGCGUGGGGAGCAAACAGG
rnacentral:rRNA from 1 species